UACGUAGGGGGCAAGCGUUGUCCGGAUUUACUGGGCGUAAAGAGCGUGUAGGCGGCCAAGCAGGUCCGUUGUGAAAACUGGAGGCUUAACCUCCAGACGUCGACGGAAACCGCGUGGCUAGAGUCCGGAAGAGGAGAGUGGAAUUCCUGGUGUAGCGGUGAAAUGCGCAGAUAUCAGGAAGAGCACCAAUGGCGAAGGCAGCUCUCUGGGACGGUACUGACGCUGAGACGCGAAAGCGUGGGGAGCGAACAGG
rnacentral:rRNA from 1 species